GGCCUCGUAGCUCAGCUGGUAGAGCGUGCGCGUACAAAGCGUAGGCGGCGUCCAUGCGUGGGUUCGAAUCCCACGGAGGCUA
rnacentral:tRNA from 1 species